CGUAGGGGGCAAGCGUUGUCCGGAAUCAUUGGGCGUAAAGCGCGUGUAGGCGGUCCGAUAAGUCGGCUGUGAAAGUCCAGGGCUCAACCCUGGGAUGCCGGUCGAUACUGUCGGACUAGAGUUCGGAAGAGGCGAGUGGAAUUCCCGGUGUAGCGGUGAAAUGCGCAGAUAUCGGGAGGAACACCAAUGGCGAAGGCAGCUCGCUGGGACGUUACUGACGCUGAGACGCGAAAGCGUGGGGAGCAAACAGGAUUAGAUACCCUGGUAGUCCACGCCGUAAACGAUGGGCACUAGGUGUGGGAGGUGUCGACUCCUCCCGUGCCGGAGCUAACGCAUUAAGUGCCCCGCCUGGGGAGUACGGCCGCAAGGCUA
rnacentral:rRNA from 1 species